CUAUAUUUGCUCGGAGCUGUCUGCAGGUCCAGAUUUACAUGAUGCUAUUGUGUCUGCCUGUACGACAUGACGAGACAGCAGCAGGAGCUUCAGCUAGAAACAACCAGAUGUGGCAUCGCGGGCAGAAGCUGUGAAGAGUUCAGCUCGGAGUCGGUCGAGAAGAAAAGAGGCUGCUGGAAGCGAGACGUGCGCCCCCAUAGACCUGAUGAUCCAAAAUACAGGGCAACGCACCACAGACGUCUGCAAAAUGGACCGAAUUCAGACCGAAUGCCGCCGGUUACCAACAGCUCCGAGGCUGCUGAGGGUUAGGGGUUGACGGUGCUGCUCCUCGUGAGCGAGGGAUUUUUGUUGUGUGUGCUGUGUG